UACGGAGGGGACUAGCGUUGUUCGGAAUUAGUCUGGGCGUAAAGCGCGCGUAGGCGGAUUUGUAAGUCGGGGGGUGAAACUCCCGGGGCUCAACCUCGGAACUGCCUUCGAUACUGCAAAUCUCGAGUCCGGAAGAGGUGAGUGGAAUUCCUAGUGUAGAGGUGAAAUUCGUAGAUAUUAGGAAGAACACCAGUGGCGAAGGCGGCUCACUGGUCCGGUACUGACGCUGAGGCGCGAAAGCGUGGGGAGCAAACAGG
rnacentral:rRNA from 1 species